GGAAACUUCUGUGGAGCCUAUGAAAGUUGACCCUCCAUGUGAAGCAGCAGAUGUUUCAAAUAAAGACGCUGAAAUGAACAGUCAAGUUGAAAGUAGAAAUGAUCCUAUGGAAACAGAGCGGGAAGUUUAAGUAACAGGAAGGAUGCAGGAGAGGAGAGACCCGAGGAAACCCGACGGGCAGGCACUGACAUCCUACGGCAUCAUUCUCGGCAGAAAAGAGCACACAGAGAUGCUCCACGGGUUGGGAGGGAGGGAGCUUUGGGGAAAUGAC
rnacentral:lncRNA from 1 species